UCCGUAGGCGGGCAAUUAAGUCAGAGGUGAAAUCCCACAGCUCAACUGUUGAACUGCCUUUGAUACUGGUCGUCUUGAGUUAUAGUGAAGUAGAUAGAAUAUGUAGUGUAGCGGUGAAAUGCAUAGAUAUUACAUAGAAUACCGAUUGCGAAGGCAGUCUACUAACUGUACACUGACGCUAAUGGACGAAAGCGUGGGGAGCGAACAGGAUUAGAUACCCUGGUAGUCC
rnacentral:rRNA from 1 species